rnacentral:pre_miRNA from 1 species
UUCAAGACCACAUUGGUGGUCUUGUUAAAAUGCAGAUUCUGAUUCAAUAACUCUGCAGUGGAGCCCAAGAUUCUAUAUUUCUAACAAGCUCCCAGGUGGUGGUGGU